AUGAUGUUCAUAUCUCGCGCGCCCCUGUCAUAAUCUUCAGAGUUUUUAGCGGCUCACAAUGGGUUCAGAUAUUAUUCUGAAGUCUAUUUAUCGUCAUCUUUUCACCCGUCUAGUCUUAAUAAGGUACGUACAUCAUUGGCGCUUCACCGUAAAGCAUUUGUUGAAAUUUCCUCCCAGAUACUUUCAGCAGAUUUAACACUGAGAUUAAGACAUGUCGAUCGUAAAGUAGAAAAUGACAUACCUGAAAAUAAACUACAUGUUUUCUGAUGUUGGAUUCUAUAUAUGCUUGCAAACAUUCCCCUGUAUGAGUAUACCAAAGAAUCUCCUAUUUUAGACCUAUUAAUGAAGAGUCUUCAUUCUCACGUGCUGCAGAUAUAAUCUACUUAUGCGCACAAAUAUUUGGGAGUAUUUUUGAAUUUGGGUUUGCUCUUCAGUGAAAAUAAACAAAUACUCUAAUGAAUUCUUUGUUAUGUCACUGUCAUAUUAAUAGACUCGGUUUUUGUUUUUAUUAGUGCAAGUAUAUCUUUGGUACAUUCUUGAGUGUUAUAUAAAGCUAGGCUAGUUAUUUUCUGUAGGGGAUAUAAAGGUACUUAAUCUCUUCGCACACCACAGACUAUCAACAUCCUAUGCUCUUUUUGAACACCAUUGCAGUCACAGUACUGGUUGUUGCGAAACUAUCGAACAUGCACAAGGUCCGGAUUUUUGGAAUCAAUGCCGGCAACUAAGCGGCAGCGUCCCAGGGUAGACAGCACCCAAUAUCAUGUUUCAUUUGAAUGGCUGGAUGGUGUUGCACCUAGUUCUGAAUUCGCUCGUUAGAGUACCAGUGUGUAGUGUUUGAGAGCUGUUAGUAGAUGACAUGUGAUCAUUGUACAGAGAAAUGCUAAAAGGCUUGGAAAAUGAUGCUGUUUUGCAACUUUGCCCGACACACGUUCUGUAGACUCUUUAUGCUGCUAUAUGUUCUGUUGCAAG
rnacentral:lncRNA from 1 species